rnacentral:rRNA from 1 species
AGAGGGUGCAAGCGUUAAUCGGAAUUACUGGGCGUAAAGGGUGCGCAGGUGGUUACAUAAGUCAGGUGUGAAAUCCCAGAGCUUAACUUUGGAAUUGCGCUUGAAACUGUGUUGCUAGAGUUUUGUAGAGGGCAGUGGAAUUUCCGGUGUAGCGGUGAAAUGCGUAGAUACCGGAAGGAACACCAGUGGCGAAGGCGACUGCCUGGACAAAAACUGACACUGAGGCACGAAAGCGUGGGUAGCAAACAGGGAUUAGAUACCCUGGUAGUCCACGCCGUAAACGAUGAGAACUAGCUGUUGGGCACUUAAGUGCUUAGUAGCGUAGCUAACGCGAUAAGUUCUCCGCCUGGGGAGUACGGCCGCAAGGCUA